GACGAACGCUGGCGGCGUGCUUAACACAUGCAAGUCGAGCGAUGAAGUUCCUUCGGGAAUGGAUUAGCGGCGGACGGGUGAGUAACACGUGGGUAACCUGCCUCAUAGAGGGGAAUAGCCUUCCGAAAGGAAGAUUAAUACCGCAUAAGAUUGUAGUAUCGCAGGAUACAGCAAUUAAAGGAGUAAUUCGCUAUGAGAUGGACCCGCGUCGCAUUAGGUAGUUGGUGAGGUAACGGCUCACCAAGGCGACGAUGCGUAGCCGACCUGAGAGGGUGAUCGGACACAUUGGGACUGAGACACGGCCCAGACUACUACGGGAUGCAGCAGUGGGGAAUAUUGCAAAAUGGAGGAAACCCUGAUGCAGCAGCGCCGCGUGAGUGAUGACGGUCUGCGGAUUGUAAAACUCUGGGGUCGGGGACGAUAAUGGCGGUACCUGAGGAGGAAGCCACGGCUAACUACGUGCCAGCCGCCGCCGUAA
rnacentral:rRNA from 1 species